UUUCAAACUAUUGUAGUUAUCGUCUCCCCACUUUUUUCGGUUAGUUUUUUUUUUCUCGCCGGCGACAGUGAGCGCCCUUCUUCUCUCGCCGCCUGUGCAGCGGAGGUCGCCCGCGCCGCCGCAAGUUCCUUCCAGGCGGGGAUAAGCGGCUGCGAGGUAACGUGCUACACAACACCGCCCCAAAACAUUUUCCCCUAUUGGAUGGCGACUUGGGCGCUCCAUCGACUGCUGGAUGGCACCAUGCGGUUGAGGCUGCGACACCCCCCCCCCCCCCCCCCAAAUGGCACCGUCGGCUGCCCCUCUGUCACCGACAUCCAUCCCAUCGCCGGAUCUAGGAGAGCUUCGCCCGAAUCCUCUUUUGAUUCUUGCGUGUCGGUGGUGGGUGGAGAGCAGCGGUACCAACGACAUUUGAAGCACAGAGGGUGGCAGGAUUCGGAGAGGAGGCUGCGGAUCUGGGGUCCGAUGGGUCGUUCUCCCUCCUCCCCUAAAGCGGUGGCGAAGAAUGUCAGUAAAUUGUCGUUGCCGUCGUGCGCGGCAGGUCAGCGCCGGCAAAGAAUACAGGAGGUCCGUGUAGCAGCUGUAGUCAAUUGAAAUCUAUUUCAGGUACAGCUCGUUAGUUCCUAUCAACUAGUAGCGUUAUAUGGUAUCAGUAGUUUUUUUAUCAGCCUGUAUUGGAUUGCACCGUCGUUUUGAUUUUGGAUGAGCUAUGUGCCUGUGUUGGCUGUGGGGAUGCGGUUUUGUUAAGAUUGGGUAGUAACCACUGAUUAAUGCCUGCCGACAGAAGGGCAUGCGUUUCUCAAUUGGCGGCCAACGUGAACCUUUGUUUCACAGGCAACUUCAUUCCUAGCCAACGGGAUGAAGUUAAUAUAUGUCAGGUACCUAACAGAACUAAUCUUUCUGAUGUUUUGACUGAUCUUUGAUUCAUGUCUUUUGUAUCCGUGUAUUGAGUGGACACAUCCAACCUAAACACAUUAGAAGUUGUUUGGUGGAUGGCUUCGCUUGGUGCUAUAAGUGUAUAUGUGAUGAUUCAUGCAUGCAGGGCUGUUCUUAGCUUCUGAAAACAACAGAAGAACUAGGAUGAUCUGUAGAUGUGCACAUGUGGCCUAGAGUCAGCUUAGGUGUCGCAUUCUCUGACAAACGAUUGCUUUGGUAAACCAAGACUGGUGUUUUUUAUUAGUACUAAUUUGGUUUAUUUGAUUAGUUGUAUAUACAAUCAAUUGUUUCCUGUAAAUAAUUUUGACUGAACGUUACAAUUGAAGUUAUUCUAUGUCCUCCAUGGCAUUCAGAUGGUAACUGAAAAUAUAUGAUCGCUGGUAGGACUAUGUGCUUUCAACUCUGUAGCUUGCAGCAGUUCUCUUGGUAAAAACGAGCCAAAAAUUCUCUAAUAAGCUUAAUCCACACGAUCAACAAUUCAUAAGCCUCUUAUCAACGCUUUGCCACUUAUCCCUGAUAUGUACCACCAAAUGCCCAUUUCGAUUUCCCAUGAGCUUGCACUUGCAUUAAUUUUUGGCUUUUCAGCCUGCAAACAUCACCAUGUCCUGUGCAAUGCUCAGUUGCUCAUAGCCUCAUACUAUGAGUCAAUCCACUAAGGCAUGCCUACUCAUAGUGCAUUUAUAUAUGGCAAAUUUUGGUCUUGCAGGAACACAAUGUAACCCGGUGGACUCGAAGAUGAUGAAAUGCAUCAUGCGGUGACAUGGGAAACAUUGUCGCUAGCGCCGGAGCGGCCAUGCUUGAUCCUGGGCUGCCCAUCCUGAUUCCUAAUGCUACCGCCACACAGUCCUGUUCUACGCUGGUUGGUUGGCGAGCCAGCCGCCUCCACUACAACAUUCGUCCAUCAAAGAUGGAUCCCGUGGAGAAGAGGAGGAUCUGCUGAUCUGAAUUUCUUUGAUGAUUUUUGUUGGAGUGUUUAUAUCCUUUGUAAUUUUUUUACUUUUGAGUUUAAGCAUGUAAUUUGUUUAUUGUAUAGUGUGUGUCUGAAUGUAACAGAACCCGUGUGUAAAAGAAAAUAUUGUUAAUAUCUGACCGGCAGUGAUUUAUUUACUCACGGGCUGACAUACUGUUGUAGGGUCAAAACAAGUAAUUUUUUAA